rnacentral:rRNA from 1 species
CUAGCUGGUCUGAGAGGAUGACCAGCCACACUGGAACUGAGACACGGUCCAGACUCCUACGGGAGGCAGCAGUGGGGAAUAUUGCACAAUGGGCGCAAGCCUGAUGCAGCCAUGCCGCGUGUAUGAAGAAGGCCUUCGGGUUGUAAAGUACUUUCAGCGGGGAGGAAGGGAGUAAAGUUAAUACCUUUGCUCAUUGACGUUACCCGCAGAAGAAGCACCGGCUAACUCCGUGCCAGCAGCCGCGGUAAUACGGAGGGUGCAAGCGUUAAUCGGAAUUACUGGGCGUAAAGCGCACGCAGGCGGUUUGUUAAGUCAGAUGUGAAAUCCCCGGGCUCAACCUGGGAACUGCAUCUGAUACUGGCAAGCUUGAGUCUCGUAGAGGGGGGUAGAAUUCCAGGUGUAGCGGUGAAAUGCGUAGAG